CCAGCGCCAGGGAGUGAGGCCCUCAACAAACCUUUUGGUGGCAGGGCAGUGUGAGUUUGCCCACAUCCUGCAUUCAUGAUAAACAGUUUGCUGUUUGAUCCUAUAGCCUCCAGCGAAAUGCUGAGUUGGUCACUUCCCAGGGGCCUUCAGCUCCCUGCACCUCACAUUCUGUAUUUGUCCUGAUUAGCCAGCAACUUAGAACUUUUUAAAAGAGGCAAAGGCAGAGGAGAACAAAGGAGGAAGUAACUUGUGGAAUGCUGAGAAAGGUAAAAACACCUCCAAAUAAGGAAGAGGAACAGACUAUGACUUAAUACUUGCUUGGACCAGUGUAAGCAUGCCAGGGCAAAUAUUUAGGCUAAAUUGUGGGAGCUAAGAACACAAAGUACAUUGAUUUCUUUAUUAUAGCUAGCAGAUAUCUAAGAAUGUUAGCACAGGUCUUUGAAUAAAUUUUGUUUCUGAGAGAAGUUACUAUUUAUUCCUAAUUAGACGGGGAGGAAAGUCUCUUUGAAGAGGAACCUCUAUUUUAUUUUUACACUCAGAAGCCCGGGCAGCUCUGCCGGGAGUGCAGGGAGGCAGCUCUCCUGGGGGUGCAGAACACAUUGGAUACACCGGUUAUUUUACCAAGGCUUUGGCUGGAAUGUUACAUUUUUGAAUGUGACCAAACUGCUUUGAGGAAUUGAGGCUGACUUUAUAAAGCCAAUAGACAUGGGAAAGACUGGCCUCAUGCCUUGCCCACACGGUUCUCUUACAAGGUUCCUCAGCUUGCGAUCUAAACAGAAAAAAAUAUAAUUUAAAAUUUUCUAACCUUAAGCUUAAAUAUAUUGUGGAGAAAGAUGCCAAAUUAUCCACUACAUGUUUUGGUAUCAGGAUGACACCAAAAGCAAUGGCAACAAAAGCCAAAAUUGACAAAUGGAAUCUAAUUAAACUAAAGAGCUUCUGCACAGCAAAAGAAACUAUCAUCAGAGUGAACAGGCAACCUACAGAAUGGGAGAAAAUUCCUGCAAUCUAUCCAUCUGACAACGGGCUAAUAUCCAGAAUCUACAAGGAACUUAAACAAAUUUACAAGAAAAAAGCAAACAACCCCAUCAAAAAAUAGGUGAAGAAUAUGAACAGACACUUCUCAAAAGAAGACAUACAUGCAGCCAACAAACAUAUGAAAAAAAGCUUAUCAUCACUGGUCAUUAGAGAAAUGCAAAUCAAAACCACAAUGAGAUACCAUCUCAUGCCAGUUAGAAUGCAGAUCAUUAAAAAGUCAGGAAACAACAGGUGCUGGAGAAAUAGGAACGCUUUUACACUGUUGGUGGGAGUGUAAAUUAGUUCUACCAUUGUGGAAGACAGUGUGGCGAGGAUCUAGAAUCAAAAAUGCCUUUUGACCCAGCAAUCCCAUUACUGUGUAUAUACCCAAAGGAUUAUAAAUUAUUCUACUAUAAAGACAUAUGCACACAUAUGUUUAUUGCAGCACUAUUCACAAUAGCAAAGUCUUGAAACCCAAAUGCCCAUCAAUGAUAGACUGGAUUAAGCAAAUGUGGCACAUAUACACCACGGAAUACUAUGCAGCCAUGGAAAAGGAUGAGUUCAUGUCCUUUGUAGGGACAUGGAUGAAGCUGGAAACCAUCAUUCUCAGCAAACUAUCUCAGGGACAAAAAUACAAACACCACAUGUUCUCACUUAUAGGUGGGAAUUGAACAAUGAGAACACUUGGACACAGGAAGGGGAACAUCACACACUGGGGCCUGUUGAGGGGUGGUAGGUGGGGGGAGGGAUAGCAUUAGGAGAUAUACCUAAUGUAAAUGACGAGUUAAUGGGUGCAGCACACCAACAUGGCACAUGUAUACAUAUGUAACAAACCUGCACAUUGUGCACAUGUACCCUAGAACUUAAAGUAUAAUAAUUAAAAAAAAGAAAUUUGAUCCCCAAUGUUGAAGGUGGGGCCUAGUGGGAGAUGUUUGGGUCAUGGUGGUGGAUCUCUUAUUAAUAGACUGAUUUCCUGGGGUGAUGAGGGGAGUGAGUGAGUUCUUAGUUUGUUAGUUCUGCUAGAGAUGGUUGCAAAAAAUAGCUUGACACCUUCCCUCUUUCUCUUUUUUUCACUUCCUCUCCCACUGUGUGAUCUCUAUACUCUGCCUCUCCUUCCCCUUCAGCCAUAAGUGGAAGCAGCUUGAGGUCCUCAUCAGAUGUAGAUGCUGGCACCAUGCUUCUUGUACAGACUGAAGAGCCAUGAACUAAAUAAAUCUCCCUUCUUUGUAAAUUACCCAGUCUCGGGUAUUUCUUUGCAGCAAUGCUAACAGACUAAAACAUUACUACAAUUGCAUUGAUCUUCAGAUAGAUAACAAAAGAUGAGUCAAUUGACAAACCAUUGAAAAUUAAAUGUGAGAACCAGAGUGUCAGUCACUCACAAAGAGGUCCUCAUCUCUUGCAACAAGCAGGCAGAAAAAAUGGAGAUCAUUUUCAGGGUUCAGUAGUCACAGUGGCUGAACUUCAAUGAUACCUGCAUGCUUAAUCAAGGUAGCUAUGUUAAGCCAAAUCUGGAGCCAGAGUUGGAAAAAAUCUAAGGCUUUGACACAUGGGAUAAGAAUUCUAGGUGGAUGCCUCCAAAGAUCUGGACUUCAAAGAUAUCACUAAACUUUCUAACACUGCAGAAGUGACCAACCCCUCCCUAUUCAGGGCAGGAAGACUAUCGAAGAGGCGCACGAUCAGAAACUGCCUUCCCCUCUUUUCCUCAACACCAGGCCUAUAAAUAUGGUUAAGUCACAGCACAGCUCAGCCAGGGAAAUAAGGAAAGAAUGGAACAAUACCACAAAAGAACUGCAAGAUCUAACAGACCUUCACCAACAAGGGGAGAACCAUGGUACUUGUCCUGAGGGUGCUGGACCAGGAGGCUGGUAGGCAAGGCUGGAUAAGUGAAAGUUUAUUGACCUGAUCUGGAAAGAAAAGAAAGGGAGUUUGGCAGCAGGGAGGUCUAGGGUAGAGGCAUAUUGAUAGGCAUAUGGAGUGGGCAUAAAGUGUGAAGGUCUUUGUAUCUUGUGUUAACACCUGGUCAGUAGGUAAAAUGACUCACCCAGUUGACAAAUUAGCCUACUUCUUCUGUCAGCAACCACCCCAGUGCUGGCAUGAUGCCCACAAGAACAAAGUGGCCUGGCAGCAGAGAUAAAGGCUAUGCAAAAGCCCAAGCAACGUGGAACUCAUUUACCAAGACCAACCAGAUUUACUAGUUAUAAUGUGUAACUCCUCAAAAAAAUUACAAAUCAGUGCAUAGACCAUAUACAAAUAUACCCAUACACAUUUAGAAUUAAUGUGAUAUGAUUUCAUAUUGUAAUUCCUUAAACACAAAUUCAGUCAACUCUAUAUGAAUUGAAAUAAUACCAGUAAACAAUUCAGAUAUUUAUGUCAAAUUUCAUAUGUAAUAGAGACCACGUAAACAAUCAGUAGGGAUUUGUUUAACAAUUAUAAACCUAAAACCAGUUUAA
rnacentral:lncRNA from 10 species